rnacentral:tRNA from 1 species
UCACGUCUCGUCCAAGGGCAGGACAGCGGUCUCUGAAGCCGUUAAUCGGGGUUCGAAUCCCUGGACGUGAA